AUUCACCCAUUGAUGUAGCUUUAACUCCUUUCAAGAAAGGAACAAAUAAAUAAAAAGUUUCAAUUGGCUUUUGGAGCCUGCAUCUGUAGCUAGAAGCCUAAGUUGGCUGGGCAAGCUCCCCAGGGGGCUGGCUAAAUGUUUACACUAGCCGAUCCUAAAGACACAAGGAGCUUCACAGCUUCUAAGGUAACGGAACUGAUCGCUGUCUCUCUUAGAAAAAUCUUUGACUGUGAUUAUUGGACUCAACAGGUGACAAGGUGUUUCUCUUAAAACUACAGCUAGAAAAAGUAAAAAUGGUGAUUGAUUUAAAUAUUAAAGGUAUGUGUAGCCACUUCAUUUUUGUUUUCUGAUUGGUUUUAAAUGUAUAAAUAUUCUCUACAUGCCUUAGUUAUGGACUAUUGGCUUUUAAGUUAUUGGAUAUGGUUUAAAAAAAUGUAACAUUGAUAACAGAAAGUUGACAUAAAACUGGUAAAAUUUAAAAUAUGCUCAUGUUUCUGUUGAUACCUGUUCCGGUAUUAUACACGCUACUCUGAUGACUGGUGAAAAGGCUUGUAAUGCCAUUAGCCAUUGCUUAGAGGCAUGGGCAGCCUGGGGAAAGCCUGAUAGUCUCAAGACAGACAAUGGGCCUGUCUACACUGCAAAGUUCUUUCAGGCAUUUUGCCAGACAAUGCAGGUCGGUCAUACUACAGGCUUACCAUACAAUCCCCAAGGACAAGGAAUUGUGGAAAGGGUACAUCGUACCUUAAAAGAGCUUAU
rnacentral:lncRNA from 1 species